CGGACGGGUGAGUAAUGUAUGGGGAUCUGCCUGAUGGCGGGGGGUAACUACUGGAAACGGUAGCUAAUACCGCAUAAUGUCUACGGACCAAAGCGGGGGACCUCCGGGCCUCGCGCCAUCAGAUGAACCCAUAUGGGAUUAGCUAGUAGGUGGGGUAACGGCUCACCUAGGCGACGAUCCCUAGCUGGUCUGAGAGGAUGACCAGCCACACUGGAACUGAGACACGGUCCAG
rnacentral:rRNA from 1 species